AAACCAUGGUGCGAGCACUCUCUCUGCAAGUCCUUGAAUCCCUCCCAGACCUCGAAAAAACUCUCAUCUGCUUGUUGAGAAAUAGAAAUUAUCUGACCUCUCAGACG
rfam:Spinacia oleracea cultivar SynViroflay scaffold19469.con0002.1, whole genome shotgun sequence.